CAAACGACGUUGAACAAGAUGAGUAAAUUAUUGGUUCCCGCCAGAGAUUGGGUGUCGGCGGCUGAAAGCACCCUCGGUUGAGCAAUAAUUGAACGUGGCUUGGAAGUCGAUCAACUGAACAUAAGUAAGUUGGUUCGGGUGCGCCCGUUAUCGCGCCAAUGAGUGAUGUUGCAAUCGCAACAUAAUCAAGGUGGUACCGCGAGUUUCCUCUCGUCCUUGUU
rnacentral:ncRNA from 1 species